UACGGGGGGGGCAAGCGUUGUUCGGAAUUACUGGGCGUAAAGGGCUCGUAGGUGGCCAACUAAGUCAGACGUGAAAUCCCUGGGCUCAACCCAGGAACUGCGUCCGAUACUGGGAGGCUUGAAUCCGGGAGAGGGAUGUGGAAUUCCAGGUGUAGCGGUGAAAUGCGUAGAUAUCUGGAGGAACACCGGUGGCGAAGGCGGCAUCCUGGACCGGUAUUGACGCUGAUGCGCGAAAGCCAGGGGAGCAAACGGG
rnacentral:rRNA from 1 species